rnacentral:ncRNA from 1 species
UAUAGGUUUGGUCCCAGCCUUCCUGUUAACUUUCAAUAGACUUACACAUGCAAGCAUCUACGCCCCGGUGAGAAUGCCCCCUAAGUCAACCAGACUAUGAGGAGCGGGUAUCAAGCACACUAUUCGUAGCUCAUGACGCCUUGCUUAACCACACCCCCACGGGAGACAGCAGUGACAAAAAUUAAGCCAUGAACGAAAGUUUGACUAAGCCAUAUUGACUAGGGUUGGUAAAUCUCGUGCCAGCCACCGCGGUCAUACGAUUAACCCAAGCUAACAGGAACACGGCGUAAAACGUGUUAAAGCACUACAUUAAAUAGAGUUAAAUCUUAAUUAAACUGUAAAAAGCCGUAAUUAUAAUAAAAUAAAUGACGAAAGUAACUCUACAACAGCUGACACACUAUAGCUAAGACCCAAACUGGGAUUAGAUACCCCACUAUGCUUAGCCCUAAACACAAAUAAUUACAAAACAAAAUUAUUCGCCAGAGUACUACCGGCAACAGCCUAAAACUCAAAGGACUUGGCGGUGCUUUAUACCCUUCUAGAGGAGCCUGUUCUAUAAUCGAUAAACCCCGAUAAACCUCACCAUUCCUUGCUAAUACAGUCUAUAUACCGCCAUCUUCAGCAAACCCUAAAAAGGAAUAAAAGUAAGCAUAAUCAUUACACAUAAAAACGUUAGGUCAAGGUGUAACUUAUGGAAUGGGAAGAAAUGGGCUACAUUUUCUACUUCAAGAAAACCCACACGAAAGUUAUUAUGAAACUAAUAACCAAAGGAGGAUUUAGCAGUAAGCUAAGAAUAGAGUGCUUAGCUGAACCAGGCCAUGAAGCACGCACACACCGCCCGUCACCCUCCUCAAGUAAUUACACGCACCUAAACUUAUUACACGCACCAACAAUAUGAGAGGAGACAAGUCGUAACAAGGUAAGCAUACUGGAAAGUGUGCUUGGACAAAC